GUGCUUGUUUCGGCAACACGUAUACUAAAAGUGGAACUGAUACAGAGAAGAUUAGCAUGGCCCCUGCACAAGGAUGACACGCAAAAUUCGUGAAGUGUUCCAUAUUUUU
rnacentral:snRNA from 1 species